rnacentral:rRNA from 1 species
CAAUAGCGUAUAUUAAAGUUGUUGCAGUUAAAAAGCUCGUAGUUGGAUUUCUGGUUGAAGCGACCGGUCGGGCGUUGAUUCGUCUGCACUGGAGUCGGUUUUGGCCAUCCUCUAGGAAAGUGCGUCUGGUAUUAAGUUAUCGGGCGUAUGAUCCUGGUCUUUUACUGUGAAAAAAUUAGAGUGUUUAAAGCAGGCCUUCGCCUUGAAUACAUUAGCAUGGAAUAAUAAGAUAGGACUUUGGUCUAUUUUGUUGGUUUGCAGACCGAAGUAAUGAUUAAUAGGGGUAGUUGGGGGUAUUUAUAUUCCGAUGUCAGAGGUGAAAUUCUUAGAUUUUCGGAAGAUAAACUUAUGCGAAAGCAUUUACCAAGGAUGUUUUCAUUAA